rnacentral:rRNA from 1 species
UGCGUAGGUGGUUUUUCAAGUCAGGAGUGAAAGGCUACGGCUCAACCGUAGUAAGCUCUUGAAACUGUUAAACUUGAGUGCAGGAGAGGAGAGUGGAAUUCCUAGUGUAGCGGUGAAAUGCGUAGAUAUUAGGAGGAACACCAGUUGCGAAGGCGGCUCUCUGGACUGUAACUGACACUGAGGCACGAAAGCGUGGGGAGCAAACA